UACAAGUUGUGACUACUAACAGAGAGCAAUCACCUCACAGACUUGUACCGAAAAGAAGAGACCAUCAGUGUGGCAGGGAACGGCUGCAUCCACAGUCCUCGCUUCCCGAGCAGUUACCCCAGGAACCUCCUGCUGACGUGGAGGCUGCAGUCCCCAGAGAGCACCAGGAUCCAGCUGGCUUUUGAUCAUCAGUUUGGACUGGAGGAGCCUGAAAAUGAGAUCUGCAGGUAUGACUUUGUGGAAGUGGAAGAUUUAUCAGAGACCAGCACAGUUAUACGAGGACGGUGGUGUGGGCACAAGGAAGUACCUCCAAGAAUAACAUCAAGAACAAAUCAGAUAAAGAUAACCUUCAAAUCCGAUGACUACUUUGUGGCUAAACCAGGAUUCAAGAUCUGUUACUCCCUUGUGUGUAGCUCAAAAGAGGCAGAUUUUGCAAACACUCAGGAAAUGG